UACCCGGUGGUGUAACGGUAACACAGCAGGUUUUGGUCCUGCAUUUCGAGGUUCGAAUCCUCGCCGGGUAGCCA
rnacentral:tRNA from 3 species